AGCGAACGCUGGCGGCAGGCCUAACACAUGCAAGUCGAACGAACCUUUCGGGGUUAGUGGCGGACGGGUGAGUAACACGUGGGAACGUGCCUUUAGGUUCGGAAUAACUCAGGGAAACUUGUGCUAAUACCGAAUGUGCCCUUCGGGGGAAAGAUUAAUCGCCUUUAGAGCGGCCCGCGUCUGGUUAGCUAGUUGGUUGAGGUAAUGGCUCACCAAGGCGACGAACAGUAGCUGGUCUGGGAGGAGGAUCAGCCACAUUGGGGCUGCGACACGGCCCCAACCCCCACGGGGGGCAGGAGUUGGGAAUCCUGCGGAAGGGGCGGAAGCCUGGCGCCGCCCCGCCCGGUGAAAGGGGGAGGGCUUUGGAAUGGAAAAUUCUUUCACCGGGGACGAUAAUGACGGUACCCGGAGAAGAAGCCCCGGCUAACUUCGUG
rnacentral:rRNA from 1 species